rnacentral:lncRNA from 1 species
AUGACAGCCCCCCCCGACAUCCUUCUCAAGUGUGAUCGGCGCAACCUGGCCCGGCUCAAUGACACACUGUGCGCUGACAUCCUGACGGGCUCAAGAGCGGGAUCCUCCGCAUCCGUGCUCCCCUUCUGCCAGGCGCUGAGCUCCCUCGACUCCAACCAGAUACAGCAGGUGUGGAGCAACAUGUGCAAUGUGAUUCAAGCGCUGGCGUCGCCACUCCUGAGCAGGUCGUCCGACUGCGGCGCUGGGGACGAGCAGCCUUCCCCUGCCGUCACGCCCCCCUCGAGGACUGCCACGCCUCAGUCUGCGCCGCGUCGUGAGGCCAGAGAAGCGCCCAACCUCAGGCUGCUCGCCUGUAACUACAACGGCUGGUUGGAGAACGCGGCGGUCGAUGCUGUCCUCGUCGCACUGUGUAGUGAUAACGAACGCGAGCAGUUUGUGAGGCAGGUGUGCAACAAUGCUCGGCUGAUGAAGAAGUUGCUCUCUGACCCGAUGAACAGCUGGCUGUACGCGCACUGUGCCAACUCCUCUGCCGACUCUGGGUACAUGCUGAGUCACUUCUGCGUCUAUCAGCAGUGGAUUGACCAGCCCGGAGUCCUGGUUGGCGCCGCCUUGCUGGAGUUCUGCAUGAGCCUGGACGGUCCCAGACUCACCCGACACGUCUGUGAGCACACCGGAUUCUUCAUGCUUCUGUUCUCCAACCCAGAAAAUGUCCGGCUAUUGCCAAACUGCACUAACCUGCCCCCUUCGCCACCAUUCCCCGACACAGAUUCACUGAUGUUAGAUUCCUGCCGUUACUCAGAGUGGCACGACGUGACACAAAUUACCACCGACGUCUUGUUGCAGUGCAUCCGCCUUGAUCAGAGCGGUUUCACGAGAGAGGUUUGCUCGAACAAAACUUUACUUGAUAGUCUGCUGCGUGAUGCGGCAAAUGCCUGGCUUGAGAAUCACUGCACCACCUCUCUCACCUUUCCCACCCCUGAGCCGCCCCCGCUCCUGAACGCCCGCCGCCUGGUGUGA